rnacentral:rRNA from 1 species
GACGUAGGGCGCGAGCGUUGUCCGGAUUUAUUGGGCGUAAAGCGCGUGUAGGCGGUUCCGCAAGUCAGGUGUGAAAGCCCAGGGCUCAACCCUGGAAGUGCACUUGAUACUACGGAGCUUGAGUACUGAAGAGGAGAGCGGAAUUCCCGGUGUAGAGGUGAAAUUCGUAGAUAUCGGGAGGAACACCGGUGGCGAAGGCGGCGACCUGGGUCGAUACUGACGCUGAGGUGCGAAAGCGUGGGGAGCAAACAGG